rnacentral:rRNA from 1 species
AUGAUGAAACUGGAUUCUUCACAAGCAAAGAUAGCUUAUGUUGCCCAUUUGCUGAAAACUAUGAGGGAAAUGCCAUCGGGUGCUGAGUCAUCUCAAACAUUCAAGGCGUUCAUCAGAAAUCACCCUUGCAUGAUGUCAUCCGCCAGUCCACAAGGACUUAUAUCGGAAGUGCAUAGAUACAUCAAGUUUCAGUAUGAUGAUUCAAUGGAACCUGUUCUACAAUCUCCGUAUACCUGGGGUUGGAUCGCUGAAUGUGAUCGUGACUUCAAUCCGGUAUACCUCUAUAAGUGGCGAUUACGGCUGCUGAGGGGGACCGGAUAUUAUGAGAAUGAAUGGUCAUGGUUUACUUUUUGUCGGAAUUUCCUUUCACAUCCUAAUCAAAAUCUGGCCAUACAAAAUGCAGAUAUUGCCAUAUGGUGGUACUUUGAUGAGCAUUUAGCAGACUUCUUGUGCCGCCUUUCCUGCACACAUGAGUUUAAAUUUAACAUUUUCAUAAAGAUAGUUUUUGCACGCACCCUGCAAAGUGGGAAAGGUACCCGUGCAUAUUAUACUAUGAAUCAGUCCCAAACCUAG